rnacentral:rRNA from 1 species
GACGAACGCUGGCGGCGUGCUUAACACAUGCAAGUCGAACGAUGAAGCCGGAGCUUGCUCUGGUGAAUUAGUGGCGAACGGGUGAGUAACACGUGAGUAACCUGCCCUUGACUCUGGGAUAACUGCGGGAAACUGUAGCUAAUACCGGAUACGACCCUCGGAGGCAUCUCCUGGGGGUGGAAAGAAUUUCGGUCAAGGAUGGACUCGCGGCCUAUCAGCUAGUUGGUGAGGUAAGGCUCACCAAGGCGACGACGGGUAGCCGGCCUGAGAGGGUGACCAGCCACACUGGGACUGAGACACGGCCCAGACUCCUACGGGAGGCAGCAGUGGGGAAUUUUGGACAAUGGGGGCAACCCUGAUCCAGCAAUGCCGCGUGAGUGAAGAAGGCCUUCGGGUUGUAAAGCUCUUUUGUCAGGGAAGAAACAGCAGCUCUAACACAGUUUGCGAAUGACGGUACCUGAAGAAUAAGCACCGGCUAAC